rnacentral:rRNA from 1 species
GAUGAACGCUGGCGGUAUGCCUAACACAUGCAAGUCGAACGGGUGUCUUUCGGGACAUUAGUGGCGGACGGGUGAGUAACGCGUGAGAAUCUGCCUUCAGGAUGGGGACAACAAUUGGAAACGAUUGCUAAUACCCGAUAUGACGAAAGUUGAAAGAUUUAUCGCCUGGAGAUGAGCUCGCGUCAGAUUAGCUAGAUGGUGUGGUAACGGCGCACCAUGGCGACGAUCUGUAGCUGGUCUGAGAGGAUGAGCAGCCACACUGGGACUGAGACACGGCCCAGACUCCUACGGGAGGCAGCAGUGGGGGAUUUUCCGCAAUGGGCGCAAGCCUGACGGAGCAAUACCGCGUGAGGGAGGAAGGCUCUUGGGUCGUAAACCUCUUUUCUCAGGGAAGAACACAAUGACGGUACCUGAGGAAUCAGCAUCGGCUAACUCCGUGCCAGCAGCCGCGGUAAUACGGAGGAUGCAAGCGUUAUCCGGAAUGAUUGGGCGUAAAGCGUCCGUAGGUGGUUCUGUAAGUCUGUGGUUAAAGCGUGGGGCUCAACCCCAUACCGGCCAUGGAAACUACAAGACUUGAGUGAAGUAGGGGUAGAGGGAAUUCCCAGUGUAGCGGUGAAAUGCGUAGAGAUUGGGAAGAACACCGGUGGCGAAAGCGCUCUACUGGACUUAAACUGACACUGAGGGACGAAAGCUAGGGGAGCGAAAGGGAUUAGAUACCCCUGUAGUCCUAGCCGUAAACGAUGGAUACUAGGUGUUGCCCG